rnacentral:rRNA from 1 species
UGUCGGGUAAGUUCCGACCUGCACGAAUGGUCUAAUGAGUUGCACACUGUCUCCUCCACGAGCCCGGUNCGGUGCUGGAAGGUUAAGGAAGGAUGUUCGGAGUAAUCCAAAGCUUCUGACUGAAGCCCCAGUAAACGGCGGCCGUAACUAUAACGGUCCUAAGGUAGCGAAAUUCCUUGUCGGGUAAGUUCCGACCUGCACGAAUGGUCUAAUGAGUUGCACACUGUCUCCUCCACGAGCCCGGUGAAAUUGUAGUAUCGGUGAAGAUGCCGGUUACCCGCCACGGGACGGAAAGACCCCGUGAACCUUCACUACAGCUUUACAUUGAUCUUGAACAACCGAUGUGUAGGAUAGUUGGGAGACUAUGAGCCGGCUUCGCCAGGAGUCGGGGAGUCACUGUUGAAAUACCAACCUUCUGUUGUUUAGGACCUAACCCAAUGCGAUUGGGGACAUUGUAUGGCGGGUAGUUUGACUGGGGUGGUCGCCUCCUAAAAAGUAACGGAGGCUUGCAAAGGUACCCUCAGUACGGUUGGUAAUCGUACGAAGAGCAUAUUGGUAUAAGGGUGCUUGACUGUGAGACAGACACGUCGAACAGGGACGAAAGUCGGCUAAAGUGAUCCGGUGGUUCUGUAUGGAAGGGCCAUCGCUCAAAGGAUAAAAGGUACUCCGGGGAUAACAGGCUGAUCUUACCCAAGAGCUCAUAUCGACGGUAAGGUUUGGCACCUCGAUGUCGGUUCGUCACAUCCUGGGGCUGGAGAAGGUCCCAAGGGUUCGGCUGUUCGCCGAUUAAAGUGGCACGCGAACUGGGUUCAGAACGUCGCAAGACAGUUCGGUCCCUAUCUGUGGUGGGCGCAAGUAAAUUGAGGGAACAUGCUCUUAGUACGAGAGGACCGGAGCGUAUGUACCGCUGGUGUACCAGUUGUGAUGCCAAUUGCAUUGCUGGGUAGCUAUGUACAGACAGGAUAAACGCUGAAAGCAUCUAAGCGUGAAACCUAUCUCAAGAUGAGUUUACUGUUAAGGGUCGUAGGAGACGACUACGUUGAUAGGCUGCAGGUGUACAGGUGGUAACAUCUUAGCUGAGCAGUACUAAUAGCCCGUAAGCUUUAUAAA